rnacentral:rRNA from 1 species
GUAGGUGGCAAGCGUUGUCCGGAAUUAUUGGGCGUAAAGCGCGCGCAGGCGGUUCUUUAAGUCUGAUGUGAAAGCCCACGGCUCAACCGUGGAGGGUCAUUGGAAACUGGAGAACUUGAGUACAGAAGAGGAAAGCGGAAUUCCACGUGUAGCGGUGAAAUGCGUAGAGAUGUGGAGGAACACCAGUGGCGAAGGCGGCUUUCUGGUCUGUAACUGACGCUGAGGCGCGAAAGCGUGGGGAGCAAACAGGAUUAGAUACCCUGGUAGUCCACGCCGUAAACGAUGAGUGCUAAGUGUUAGGGGGGUUUUCCGCCCCCCUUAGUGCUGCAGCUAACGCAUUAAGCACUCCGCCUGGGAGUACGGCCGCAAGGCUGA